rnacentral:rRNA from 1 species
UUGUGGUUAAAAAGCUCGUAGUUGGAUCUCGGCGGACUGAGGGCGGUUUGCUUGCUAGUAUUACUGCCCUAUAGUCCGUAGUUUUCUUAAUCGAGUGUCCCGGGAUGCUGGCAGGUUUACUUUGAAAAAAUUAGAGUGCUCAAAGCAGGCUAUUACGCCUGAAUAUUCGUGCAUGGAAUAAUAGAAUAGGAAGUCGUUUCUAUUUUGUUGGUUUUCGGAAAUCGACUUAAUGAUUAAUAGGGACAGUCGGGGGCAUUUGUAUUCAAACGACAGAGGUGAAAUUCUUGGACCGUUUGAAGACAAACUACUGCGAAAGCAUUUGCCAAGAAUGUUUUCAUUAAUCAAGAACGAAAGUUAAAGGUUCGAAGGCGAUUAGGUACCGCCCUAGUUUUAACCAUAAACGAUGCCAGCUAGCGAUCUGCGGACGUUUUUUUUGUAGACUCCGCAGGAAGCUUCCGGGAAACCAAAGCAUUUGGGUUCCAGGGGAAGUAUGGUUGCAAAGCUGAAACUUAAAGGAAUUGACGGAAGGGCACCACCAGGAGUGGAGCCUGUGGCUUAAUUUGACUCAACACGGGAAAUCUCACCAGGCCCGGACACUGGAAGGAUUGACAGAUUGAUAGCUCUUUCUUGAUCCGGUGGGUGGUGGUGCAUGGCCG